AGAGACCGCGACAGGGUAGGUAGGGGUAAAUUGGGGCCGCGCAACGAGAGCGCGAAGCUCUUAUUUUGAAUACCAGUAGCCGUUUCGUUGCUACUUCUGCGAACGCGAGUUAGUUCUUCUGAAUAAUCCCCGCACAGAGUGUGGCCCCAAUUACCACCUAUUGUACACACAUGAUUCUUACAACUCGUUCUGCUCGAUGAACAGGACAUUAUUAUCGCGUGCGUGUUUAUAUUAAAAUUUUUACAUAUGUUUUUACGUGUCGCAUUUUAAAAGUGCAUUGUGCGAAUUUGAUCGGAAGUGCGCCCACUUUAAGACUGGGACUGGAAAGUUUAUUCCGCAUUUAAUAAACAGUUUAAUUAAUGUGUUUGUGUAUAUCGAUUCGGCUACUUGAACAAGACGAGUGAACUUUUUUGAACCGUUCAAACAUCGCCUCCAACACGGCUACUAAGUUACAAGAUCGCUAUUUAAUCACUUCUAGCACAUCAACCUCAGACGAGUCAGGAUGCGAGGCUGACAUGGCAGAAGGCGGAACAGAAGAGGAAAGCGGCGAUAUGUUGGGUCCCGCGAUCGCACCAGCCCAUCAGCCACCGGCUCUUAACAUGAAACCCGAGAAGCGUACCAGUUUUUUAUCAUUUGAAUUUUGUCACUAGUGGAAAUUUUUCCACAAGACGAAAUAGGGCUGGACAUAAGCCCUAUUUCCCGAUUUUCUUAUUUCGAUAUAAAAAAUAUCGAAAGUAACGGUCAGAAGUCAGAACUAUCAUCUCCCAGUCAGGAGCCUACAUUGUUGCCACCUAUUAGCAUCCCUCCAAUCCGGAUGUACAUCUUUUAUAGCCAGAGGAAUUUCACAUGUUGAGAGGUUGGAGCUGUAAAGACAAAAGGUCAAAGAUACGUCCAAUCAUUAUCAAUCAUACUUACCUUCACAAAACAAGCGUUGUCCAGCUAUCUGUUGAACUUUACCAUGCACAUCAAAUUUUUGAAAAUCCAUUACGUACUUACCUCGAAUGCUUCUAUAAUUUCUUUUUCAU